rnacentral:rRNA from 1 species
UUAUGAUUUAAAUUUACACCUGAAUAAAAGUAGUUAUUUUCUUCAUAACUCAAAGAAUUUGGCGGUUAGUAGUAUUUCUCAGAGGAACCUGUCCUUUAAUCGAUAAACCACGUUAGUUUAAGCCUUCAUUCUAUUUGUAUACCUCUAUGGUGUAAGAGUGUUCCUCUAGGAUAUUCUCUUUUUGAUUUUUUCUUUUAUUUUAGGUCAAGGUGCAGUUUUAUGAAGGUUAGUGUGGGUUACUAAAGUUGUAAUUUUUAUUAUUUAUUUUAUUUUUAUUAGGAUUUGAAAGUAAUUAGAUUUAAUUAUUUCUUUUGAAUUUUUUACAUUAAUGC